rnacentral:rRNA from 1 species
UAGGGAAUAUUGGACAAUGGGCGCAAGCCUGAUCCAGCCAUGCCGCGUGAGUGAAGAAGGCCUUCGGGUUGUAAAGCUCUUUUACCAGGGACGAUAAUGACGGUACCUGGAGAAUAAGCCCCGGCAAACUUCGUGCCAGCAGCCGCGGUAAUACGUAGGGUGCGAGCGUUAAUCGGAAUUACUGGGCGUAAAGCGUGCGCAGGCGGCAUGAUAAGUCAGAUGUGAAAUCCCCGAGCUCAACUUGGGAACUGCGUUUGAAACUAUCAAGCUAGAAUAUGUCAGAGGGGGGUAGAAUUCCACGUGUAGCAGUGAAAUGCGUAGAGAUGUGGAGGAAUACCAAUGGCGAAGGCAGCCCCCUGGGAUAAUAUUGACGCUCAUGCACGAAAGCGUGGGGAGCAAACAGGAUUAGAUACCCUUGUAGUCCCUGAGCGGGCUGGCAAGGCGCAU